rnacentral:rRNA from 1 species
AUUGAACGCUGGCGGCAUGCCUAACACAUGCAAGUCGAGCGGAUGAAUCGAGCUUGCUCGUGGAUUCAGCGGCGGACGGUUGGGAAAUGCCUAUGAAUCUGCCUUGAAUUGGGGGAUAAGGUCCUGAAACGGGCGCUAAUACCCCAUCCGUCCUGUGGUCGACAUUGGGUGAUCUUCGGACCUCACGCUAUCAGAUUAGCCUAGGUCGGAUUAGCUAGUUGGUGGGGUAACGGCCUACAAAGGCGACGAUGCGUAACUGGUAUGAGAGGAAGAUCAGUCACACUGGAACUGAGACACGGUCCAGACUCCUAAGGGAGGCAGCAGUGGGGACUAUUGGACAAUGGGCGAAAGCCUGAUACAGCCAUGCCGCGUGUGUGAAGAAGGUCUUAGGAUUGUAAAGCAAUGUAAGUUGGGAGGAAGGGCAGUAAGUUAAUCCCUUGCUGUUUUGACGUUACCAACAGAAUAAGCACCGGCUAACUUCGUG